GACGAACGCUGGCGGCGUGCUUAACACAUGCGAGUCGAACGAUGAUGCCAGCUUGCUGGUGGAUUAGUGGCGAACGGGUGAGUAGCACGUGAGUAACCUGCCCUUGACUCUGGGAUAAGCCUGGGAAACUGGGUCUAAUACCGGAUAUGACCUUCCAUCGCAUGGUGGUUGGUGGAAAGCUUUUGUGGUUUUGGAUGGACUCGCGGCCUAUCAGCUUGUUGGUGGGGUAAUGGCCUACCAAGGCGACGACGGGUAGCCGGCCUGAGAGGGUGACCGGCAACACUGGGACUGAGACACGGCCCAGACUCCUACGGGAGGCGGCAGUGGGGAAUAUUGCACAAUGGGCGCAAGCCUGAUGCAGCGACGCCGCGUGAGGGAUGACGGCCUUCGGGUUGUAAACCUCUUUCAGUAGGGAAGAAGCCGUAAGGUGACGGUACCUGCAGAAGAAGCGCCGGCUAACUACGUGCCAGCAGCCGCGGUAA
rnacentral:rRNA from 1 species